AUGUGGAACCAGAAGGACCAAGGACAAGGGAAUAUUGGUGAUGUGGAAGCAAAAGUGAGCUCCGAGAGAGGAGGAGCUCAGCCCUGGAUUCCCAAGUCCUCCCAUCCAGUGAUCAGCACUGAACCCAGACCACUCACUAUGAACUUCAGGCUCAGCUUGGUUUUCCUUGUCCUUAUUUUAAAAGAUAAUUUAUUGACAUCAGAUUCCAUCUAUGUCCAGUGUGAGGAGCAGCUGGUGGAGUCUUGUGGAGGCUUAGUGCAGCCUGGAGGGUCCUUAAAACUCUCAUGUGUCGCCUCUGGAUUCACUUUCAGUAGCUACUGGAUGGCCUGGAUCCGCCAGACUCCAGAGAAGGGGCUGGAGUGGGUCGCAUGCAUUAGUAAUACUGGCAGUAGCACCUGCAAUCCAGACACUGUGAAGGGCCGAUUCACCAUCUCCAGAGACAAUGCCAAGAACACUCUGUACCUACAAAUGAACAGUCUGAGGUCUGAGGACACGGCCAAGUAUUACUGUGCAAGAGACAGUGAAUGA